GACGAACGCUGGCGGCGUGCUUAACACAUGCAAGUCGAACGAAGUGGCGAACGGGUGAGUAAUACGUGAGUAACCUGCCCUCCUUUUUGGGAUAAGCCUUGGAAACGGGGUCUAAUACCGAAUAAAGGGGGAUGGGCUCGCGGCCUAUCAGCUUGUUGGUGGGGUGAUGGCCUACCAAGGCGGUGACGGGUAGCCGUGCUGAGACGGUGACCGGCAACAUUGGGACCGGUCCACGGCCCAACGGAGUACGGGAGGGAGCAGUGGUGGACAAUGGACAAUGGCCGGAAGCAUGAUGCAGCGGUGCAGCGUGGGGGAUUAAGGCUUUCGGGGUGUAAACCUCGUUCGCUAUGGAACGGGUAGGUGGAGAAGAAGCGCCGGCUAACUACGUGCCAGCAGCCGCGGUAAUAC
rnacentral:rRNA from 1 species